CGAUCACGCAGGCAGCGCUUCCCCCAUUUAUCCCCUCGCGUUCCUCUGUUUCUCCUCGCGCCUUUCGUUUUUCUGCUGCUUUUCACGUGUUAUUUUCGGUUCCCUUGCAGCCUUGUCCCACUCUCCCUCCCACAGUCUCUGGCCUUGUCCGCCGGUCCUCUGCUGCCCUCGUGUGGCUCUAGGUGGAAAGGCAGCUUCCCAGCCCCACCCAAGGUGCGGCUGGGGAUGGAGCUGGAGAUGAGCGCGAGGGGAUCCAGGUGUGGAUGGUCGGCACGGGUUUGGCUCCGCGCCUUUGACCUGAAUCUCACAAAGUCACCAAGUUGCCCAGGCCGGGCUAGAACUUGUGAGCCUCCUGCCUGAGGCCUUUCCAGAGUGCUUUCCAACGUGCUGGGGUUACAAGUGGGCACCACUGUGCUCAGGUUUAGAAGUUUCAGUCCAUGAUUGGUUGACCUGGUUGCUUUGGGCCUGGUGAGAGGCAGCAGCAUCACGGCAGGUAAGUGUGGUACAGCAAAGCUGCUCACUUCAUGGUCAGGACAAAAGAAGAAAAGAGGAAGGGACUGGACUUCCACAAUCCCCUCUGAGACCAUGCCCCCAAAGACCUAAAGACCUCCCAUUACACCCGACCUUUCAAGGUUUCCAACACCUCCAAGAGUGCCAAGCUGGGGACCACAUCUUUACCACAUAGACCUCUGGGUCCCAUUCCAGAUCCCAACAGUAUCAGGCAGCAUAAAUAAAAAUUUCAGUAGAGCCAGGGAUUUAGCUCAGUGGCACUGUGCCUGCCUCACAAAUGCAAGAUCCUUGAGUUCAAUACCCGAUAUAUAUAUUUCAAUAGGGCUGGGGAUUUAGCUCAGUGGUUCUGGCACCUGCCUCGCAAGUGCAAGGUCCCGAGUUUGAUCCCUGGUACCAAAAAAACUCCAACAACACACAUAUAUAUAUUUCAAUAGAAAGGUUGUAAAAUAAAGCUGAGGGAAUGUCCAAAAUGGUGAAGCAAUUGGACAGAUGGAAAAUAUACAAGCAAAAAUAAAACAAGUUAGAGUUCCAAAUUCCAGA
rnacentral:lncRNA from 1 species